AUACAUGCAAGUCGAACGCUUUGUGCUUAAUUGAUAUGACGAGCUUGCUCUGAUUUGAUUUUUUGAUUUCAAAGAGUGGCGAACGGGUGAGUAACACGUGGGUAACCUACCUCUUAGCAGGGGAUAACAUUUGGAAACAAGUGCUAAUACCGUAUAAUAUCAACAACCGCAUGGUUGUUGAUUGAAAGAUGGUUCUGCUAUCACUAAGAGAUGGACCCGCGGUGCAUUAGCUAGUUGGUAAGGUAAUGGCUUACCAAGGCAAUGAUGCAUAGCCGAGUUGAGAGACUGAUCGGCCACAAUGGGACUGAGACACGGCCCAUACUCCUACGGGAGGCAGCAGUAGGGAAUCUUCCACAAUGGGCGCAAGCCUGAUGGAGCAACGCCGCGUGUGUGAUGAAGGGUUUCGGCUCGUAAAACACUGUUAUAAGAGAAGAACGGCACUGAGAGUAACUGUUCAGUGUGUGACGGUAUCUUACCAGAAAGGAACGGCUAAAUACGUGCCAGCAGCCGCGGUAAUACGUAUGUUCCAAGCGUUAUCCGGAUUUAUUGGGCGUAAAGCGAGCGCAGACGGUUAUUUAAGUCUGAAGUGAAAGCCCUCAGCUCAACUGAGGAAUUGCUUUGGAAACUGGAUGACUUGAGUGCAGUAGAGGAAAGUGGAACUCCAUGUGUAGCGGUGAAAUGCGUAGAUAUAUGGAAGAACACCAGUGGCGAAGGCGGCUUUCUGGACUGUAACUGACGUUGAGGCUCGAAAGU
rnacentral:rRNA from 1 species